UACGUAGGGUGCGAGCGUUAAUCGGAAUUACUGGGCGUAAAGUGUGCGCAGGCGGCUUCGCAAGUCGAGUGUGAAAUCCCCGAGCUUAACUUGGGAAUUGCGCUCGAAACUACGGAGCUGGAGUGUGGCAGAGGAAGGUGGAAUUCCACGUGUAGCGGUGAAAUGCGUAGAGAUGUGGAGGAACACCGAUGGCGAAGGCAGCCUUCUGGGCCUGCACUGACGCUCAUGCACGAAAGCGUGGGGAGCAAACAGG
rnacentral:rRNA from 1 species